CUACGGGACGCUGCAGUGAGGAAUCUUGCGCAAUGGGCGAAAGCCUGACGCAGCGACGCCGCGUGGAGGAUGAAGGCCUUCGGGUCGUAAACUCCUGUCGAGAGGGACGAAACCCGGAAAGGUGAAUAGCCUUUCCGGUUGACGGUACCUCCAAAGGAAGCCCCGGCUAACUCCGUGCCAGCAGCCGCGGUAAUACGGAGGGGGCCAGCGUUGUUCGGAAUUACUGGGCGUAAAGGGCGCGUAUGCGGCCACGCAAGUCGGACGUGAAAUCCCUCGGCUCAACCGAGGAACUGCGUCCGAAACUGCGUUGGCUUGAGUCCCGGAGAGGGUAGCGGAAUUCCCAGUGUAGCGGUGAAAUGCGUAGAUAUUGGGAGGAACACCAGUGGCGAAGGCGGCUACCUGGACGGGUACUGACGCUGAAUCGCGAAAGCUAGGGGAGCAAACAGGAUUAGAUACCCGCGUAGUC
rnacentral:rRNA from 1 species